rnacentral:rRNA from 1 species
GUGUUUAUCGAGAGUGGGGUACACCUGUUCCCAUACCGAACACAGUAGUUAAGCCACUCAUCGCCGAUGGUACUUGGGCUUCUGGCCCUGGGAGAGUAGGUCGACGCCAAGA